AGUGAACGCUGGCGGUAGGCCUAACACAUGCAAGUCGAACGGCAGCACAGGAGAGCUUGCUCUCUGGGUGGCGAGUGGCGGACGGGUGAGGAAUACAUCGGAAUCUACUUUUUCGUGGGGGAUAACGUAGGGAAACUUACGCUAAUACCGCAUACGACCUACGGGUGAAAGCAGGGGAUCUUCGGACCUUGCGCGAUUGAAUGAGCCGAUGUCGGAUUAGCUAGUUGGCGGGGUAAAGGCCCACCAAGGCGACGAUCCGUAGCUGGUCUGAGAGGAUGAUCAGCCACACUGGAACUGAGACACGGUCCAGACUCCUACGGGAGGCAGCAGUGGGGUAUAUUGGACAAUGGGCGCAAGCCUGAUCCAGCCAUACCGCGUGGGUGAGGAAGGCCUUCGGGUUGUAAAGCCCUUUUGUUGGGAAAGAAAUCCAGCUGGUUAAUACCCGGUUGGGAUGACGGUACCCAAAGAAUAAGCACCGGCUAACUUCGUGCCAGCCGCCGCAGUAA
rnacentral:rRNA from 1 species